rnacentral:rRNA from 1 species
UCGAGUGAGCCUGCGCCGAAAAUUACCGGGGCUAAACUGUGUACCGAAGCUAUGGCAGCGUGUGUGUUCACUAGUGCAACCAUGAAAAGGCAGAGGUAAUUUCAUGAAAAGCAACCUUGGAUUAAUAGAUAAUUGAAAAAGAAGCUUUUCAUAAAAUUGCACUCAAGGCUAAACUGUGAAAGGUAAGCAUCAUGGUGCAGUGGUGAACACAUACGGUGGGUAGGGGAGCUUACUGUCGUAGGCCGAAGCACGAUCGUGAGGACGUGUGGACGA